rnacentral:rRNA from 1 species
AUACGGAGGGUCCGAGCGUUAUCCGGAAUCACUGGGUUUAAAGGGUCCGUAGGCGGGAAUCUAAGUCAGUGGUGAAAUCUCGCAGCUCAACUGUAAAAUUGCCAUUGAUACUGGAUUUCUUGAAUUAGUGUGAAGUGAUUAGAAUGUGUAGUGUAGCGGUGAAAUGCAUAGAUAUUACACAGAAUACCAAUUGCGAAGGCAGAUCACUAACACUAUAUUGACGCUGAGGGACGAAAGCGUGGGGAGCGAACAGGAUUAGAAACCCCGGUAGUCC